UAGCCAUAUGAAUCUUUAUGGGACUAUAGUAGAUUGUAGUAGAUUCAUUGUAGGAAUAGGAUACACACCAAAAUAGAAUCUAUCAUCCUUGGUAGACAAGAAAGAUGGUCCUAUGUAAUUUAUGAGACUGAGUUCAGAAGACUUUGGCCAAGAUAGUGUGAGUAAUGGAAAAAAGUUUCUACAUACUUCACAUCAGAAACUCAAGUCAAAUAAAUCUUAUAUAUGAUAGAUGUUGUGGUUUGACGAGUAAUCUAUAACCUCCAUCUUGUCG
rnacentral:lncRNA from 1 species